rnacentral:rRNA from 1 species
GACGUAGGGCGCGAGCGUUGUCCGGAUUUAUUGGGCGUAAAGCGCACGUAGGCGGCCCGAUAAGUCGGAUGUGAAAUCCCUCGGCUCAACCGAGGACGUGCAUUCGAAACUGUCGGGCUCGAGUAUGGAAGAGGGUCGCGGAAUUCCCGGUGUAGAGGUGAAAUUCGUAGAUAUCGGGAGGAACACCAGUGGCGAAGGCGGCGACCUGGGGCCAAUACUGACGCUGAGGUGCGAAAGCGUGGGGGAGCAAACAGG